AGAGUUUGAUCCUGGCUCAGGACGAACGCUGGCGGCGCGCCUAACACAUGCAAGUCGAACGAGCGAGAGAGAGCUUGCUUUCUCGAGCGAGUGGCGAACGGGUGAGUAACGCGUGAGGAACCUGCCUCAAAGAGGGGGACAACAGUUGGAAACGACUGCUAAUACCGCAUAAGCCCACGGGUCGGCAUCGACCAGAGGGAAAAGGAGCAAUUCGCUUUGAGAUGGCCUCGUGUCCGAUUAGCUAGUUGGUGAGGUAAUGGCCCACCAAGGCGACGAUCGGUAGCCGGACUGAGAGGUUGAACGGCCACAUUGGGACUGAGACACGGCCCAGACUCCUACGGGAGGCAGCAGUGGGGAAUAUUGCACAAUGGGGGAAACCCUGAUGCAGCGACGCCGCGUGGAGGAAGAAGGUCUUCGGAUUGUAAACUCCUGUUGUCGAGGAAGAUAAUGACGGUACUCAACAAGGAAGUGACGGCUAACUACGUGCCAGCAGCCGCGGUAAAACGUAGGUCACAAGCGUUGUCCGGAAUUACUGGGUGUAAAGGGAGCGCAGGCGGGAAGACAAGUUGGAAGUGAAAUCCAUGGGCUCAACCCAUGAACUGCUUUCAAAACUGUUUUUCUUGAGUAGUGCAGAGGUAGGCGGAAUUCCCGGUGUAGCGGGUGGAAUGCGUAGAUAUCGGGAGGAACACCAGUGGCGAAGGCGGCCUACUGGGCACCAACUGACGCUGAGGCUCGAAAGUGUGGGUAGCAAACAGGAUUAGAUACCCUGGUAGUCCACACCGUAAACGAUGAUUACUAGGUGUUGGAGGAUUGACCCCUUCAGUGCCGCAGUUAACACAAUAAGUAAUCCACCUGGGGAGUACGACCGCAAGGUUGAAACUCAAAGGAAUUGACGGGGGCCCGCACAAGCAGUGGAGUAUGUGGUUUAAUUCGACGCAACGCGAAGAACCUUACCAAGUCUUGACAUCCUUCUGACCGGUACUUAAUCGUACCUUCUCUUCGGAGCAGGAGUGACAGGUGGUGCAUGGUUGUCGUCAGCUCGUGUCGUGAGAUGUUGGGUUAAGUCCCGCAACGAGCGCAACCCUUAUCUUUAGUAGCCAGCGGUCAGGCCGGGCACUCUAGAGAGACUGCCAGGGAUAACUUGGAGGAAGGCGGGGAUGACGUCAAAUCAUCAUGCCCCUUAUGACCAGGGCUACACACGUGCUACAAUGGCGUAAACAGAGGGAAGCAGCCUCGUGAGAGUGAGCAAAUCCCAAAAAUAACGUCUCAGUUCGGAUUGUAGUCUGCAACUCGACUACAUGAAGCUGGAAUCGCUAGUAAUCGCGAAUCAGAAUGUCGCGGUGAAUACGUUCCCGGGUCUUGUACACACCGCCCGUCA
rnacentral:rRNA from 1 species